rnacentral:misc_RNA from 1 species
AGGAGAAGCAGCAAAAUUCGUGUGCACUAAUAACAGACACAUUCUAUUUUAAUAAUCAAGAUAUCACAUAACCUCAUGGUCAUCAAUUAUUAUUUUUCCAAUGAAAUAAACUCCACAGGAUUUUAUACGUAGGCUCCAGCUGAGUAUCUAUAUGUUAAUUCUCAUCAAAUGCAAAGAUGUAGUUGGUGGGAUGUGUGAGUGUGCAUCAAUCCCACUGGUUGGAUGUUCUGUCAGACCUCAGACCUAAAUAUUUAGAACCGACUCAAGUGAAAAGCCAUAAUA